UGUUCCUUCUACUUAACUGCUAGUUUGGUGAGUGUUUAGUCUAAGUACUAUUUAUGAUUCCAUGGUAGAUGAGAAAAUAAGAUUAACAUGUAGAAACCCUUGGAGUUGCAUCUAAAACAUGCUGGGCUCAGGUGUCUUUCAGUGGUAGAGUGCAUGCUUAGCACACAUGGGGCUCUAGGUUUUACCUCAGCACCAGUAAAUCAAAUAUGAACUAGUUUUUUUGUGGUCUUUUUUGUUAUUUAACUUGGGUCCUUUUGGACCCAUGAUUCAACUCCUCUACCACCAAGAGCCCUACUGGGCAUCACCACUCUUCCAUACCUUCCUAAUUUCUCCACUCUCUGAGGAUUAGCCACUGUACCACCCCACUCACCUGCUAUGAGUUUGGGCGUUUGGUCACGUGUUGAACAAGGUGUGCACAGCUUGUCUGAUCAGCAAGGCUGUUUCUGAACAGCACAAAAAUAGAGUGCAGGGUUGUUCUUGGCCUCAGGGUGCUUUGCAGAACUUUGGGACAUGUUAAUUCUUAGAGGCUAGAAACGGGAAGAGUUAUGUAAGUCUAUCACAUGCACGUGAUAGGAAAUUAUGACUUUGGAAAAGCCUAGCUGAGAAUCGAACUACUCCAUGAAGUGGUGGACUUUAUGAAUCUCUCUUAUUGAUAAUAAUAACCAGUAUAAUUGAUCACUUAGGAUGUGCUAAGCACUGUCUCUGAUUCUUAUGACUUAAAAGGUGAGUACUCGUUUCUUUUUUAUGUUAAUAAGUGACACUGAAGCUGGAAGAACAGAGGACUGUAGGAUCACACAGCCAGGGACAAGCCAGUAGCUUAAGUUUUCUUAACCCUUUGACAUCUGCUAUACUACUCAGUAGUGAGUCCUGGCAUCCAUUAUAGCAGUAUGGAAACACUGGCAGACACUUGGCUUAUUUAUCACCUUUUGGUACAACAAUAAGCUACGCCAUAUGCAAAGACUGUGUAUGAGGAAUAUGUAUCUGAUUAUGUAUAGAUAGAUUAAGAGCAGGUAGGGGAAGGUUCCAUCCUUAAACAUUAGAGUUUUUGUUUUUGAAGUGGUCUCAAGCACAUCAGUCAGGUUUCCAACUUCCUAUGUAGAAGAGAGUGAUUUAGAACUCCUUUAUCUCCUACCUCCCAAAGAGGCACAGGCAUGUACAAACACACACUUAUGUAAUGCUGAUAACCAAACUCAGGGCCUUGAACAUAUUAGGCAAGCAUUCUCCCAACUGAACUGUAUCCCCAGCCUGAAAAGCACUUUUCUUAAACUUCAUUGUGUACCUGAGUCCCCAGAGAGACUUGUUAGCACACAGGCUGCCUAGCUAACCCCCAGGGUUUCUGAUCUAGUAGGUCUGGGUAGAACCUGAGAAUUUUUGCAGCAGAUUACAGCUGCUGGUGGUAAGAUUACAGUUUGAGACUCACUGCCUUAAAAUCUUCCUUGCAAUUAGGGGAAUGAGUAUUUCUGUUGUGGGAAUAUGUUCUCUUAUUGGGAGUAUGAUUUAAUUCCUACUCUUGAUAUCUCGAUACCCGUAGUCUCUCAUUAAUAUCCAGGUGUUUAUCAAAGCUGACAACAUCCAAAUCCCAGUCCUCAGUCUUUCCUCCCUGUUUGUCUCAGCCCCUUGGUUCUGGCUGCCCUCCGAGGUGCCCAUGCACCCUCGCCUGUUCUCUGCCUCCCAAGUGCUGGGAUUAAAGGUGUGCUCCACCACGCCCGCCACUCCAUAUUUUCAUUCACAGGUUUCUCCUCAGCCCAUUCUUUCUCCAAAACCUGCCUGUUCUGCAUGGUGUUCUUUGAUCCUCUCACAGUCCUGAUGCUCGCGACCAGGAACACCUGCUCCAAGCUGCUGUGACAUUCACAUUCAGACCCUUACUUGGAAGGCUACCCUCUCUAGUAUCUGGCCAGCUGCAAACUGUUGGGGAAUCAAGGGGAUCUCUCUCUCCCUUCCUCUCCCCAAAAGUUUUUGGUACACCAUUCCCAACUUUUUUUCACAACUUCAUUUGCUCUUGAGACAUCACAAUCCCUGACUGCCUAACAAUCUGGUCUCAACCUCUCCCACACCCCUGUAACUCACCUUGACAUUUCCUGCUGUUGUUAGCUUCUGAUGGCUUCUCACAUUUAUAGUCUGUGUGAGCCUCAGAAAGGCAAGUUUUGUGCAGUUCCAAGCUUCUCCUACUUGAACGAAUUGGGAGUGGGUGCUUUUUUGUUUUGUUUUGUUUUGUUUUUCUAUAAAAGCAGGACAGAGAGAUUUCUCAUUAUUCCAGGGAAACAUCCCCUCACUAGUACAAGAGUACAUUUGCAAACCAGCCUUUCAAAGAGCUAUUUCAAAAGCAAUAAGCAAGUGGUUCCAUGGUGAGGAUUACAAACACACCCUCAGGGUCAGUCAAGGGUGAGGAGGACAGUUCUACUAUGACAAGACACAUUGGGCCAGACUCCGUGGGAGAGUGUCAGACAUACAUCUUUAAAGUGCUGUAUCACAAACAGCUUAGAUGCAAGCAAAGGAGAGCUACUUAAAGAAACUAGGUGUAGAUAUCAUGAAGGUGUUGAUUCAAAAGAUGCUUGUGGAGAAUUUGAAGCUAAUUGUUAACUUAAUGUGAGAAUGGGGAAAAGCAAUAUUUUGUAUUAUUGUAAUAUAUAUAUAUAUUGUUAUUUUAAAAUAAGCAUGUAUAAUUAAAUAAAUUAGAUAUUAUAAAUAGACAUCUGGCUAUUUGAUUUCUAUUUCUGGAAGUUUAAGUAUUCACAAUUGAUACUUAUUUUUACUUUUAAAAGUUUUCCCAAACUGACCAAAGAUCUUAUUUAAGUUGUAGCAUUCAUUUUUAUUAUUAUUUAUUUAUUUAUUAUUAUUAUAACACUAGGUGACUAGUCUGAGGUGUGGUGGCACAUGCCUUGAAUCUCAGCACUUAGGAGGCAGAGGCAUGUAGAUCUCUAUGAGUUUGAGGCCAGCCUGGUCUACAUAGUGAGUUCCAGAAUAGGCCAGAACUACAUAGUGAGACCCUGACUUGGAAACAAGCAAGCAGACCAACAAAGCAACAAAAUACUAGAUAAGCUAAUAGAUAACAUAAGGAAAGAUGUGAGAAACUUAAUAUUUUAGCAUUCAGAUUUCAGAGAUAGAGAUCAUUCUGGAUUGUGCCUUCUUUGUGUUUUUUUUUUUAAUGAGCUCUAGAAUAAGCUUAACUAUCAAUGUGUAAAAUCUGAUGUUACAGUUAUAAUGUAUGCACCUAGCUUAUUAUUUAAUGUGUAUCUUACAUGUAUUCUGUUAUUGUUAUGGUAUAUUUUGCUAGGCUGAUUACAGGUGUUGGUGGAAUCACUCAGAUGUAUAAACAAGAAGGAA
rnacentral:lncRNA from 1 species